UACGUAGGGUGCAAGCGUUGUCCGGAAUUAUUGGGCGUAAAGAGCUCGUAGGCGGUCUGUCGCGUCUGCUGUGAAAACUCAGGGCUUAACCCUGAGCUUGCAGUGGGUACGGGCAGACUAGAGUGCGGUAGGGGAGACUGGAAUUCCUGGUGUAGCGGUGAAGUGCGCAGAUAUCAGGAGGAACACCGAUGGCGAAGGCAGGUCUCUGGGCCACUACUGACGCUGGAGAAGCGGAAGGCAUGGGGAGCGAACAGG
rnacentral:rRNA from 1 species